ACAGUAGGAUGACAUUGACAUAUUUAAAAUGUCGGGGGAGAAAUCCCAAACAGCCUACCAAAGGAGGGUUCUGUAUCUGGUAAACUGUUCUUCAAAAAUAUGGGAGAAAGUAAGACAUUUCCAGAUAGACAGAAGCACAAUGAGUUUAUUUCCACUACAGCUGUCCUACAGGAGAUGUUACGGAGAAUCCUUCAGGUUGGGACAGACGGACACUAGACAUAGCCAGACACCACAAGAAGGAGCGAGGACCUCUGGUAAGGAUUGGCAGAAUGGAUAGCAAGCAGGAUCCCGGUGCAUGCUGUCGAGGAGACGUGAUCUUGAUCUAAGGAUGCACUUAGUGACCAGAAGAGAAUGAAGUGGCUGUGCUGAUGUCAGACAAGAUAGACUGUAAGUAAACAAACUCUUACAAGAGGGGCACCUGGGUGGCUCCCUUGGUUCAGCAUCUGGCCCUUGAUUUUAGCUCAGGUCACGGGCUCAGGGCUGUGGGAUGGAGCCCUGUGCUGGGCUCCACGCUCAGUAGGCAGUCUGCUUGAGAGCCUCUCCCUCUCCCUCUGUCCCUCCCCCAGCUUGCACACGCACACCCACACGUGCACUCUCUCCCUCUCUCGAAUCAAUAAAUCUUCAAAGAAAAUGGUUACAUGAGACGAAGG
rnacentral:lncRNA from 1 species